rnacentral:rRNA from 1 species
AACGCGAAGAACCUUACCUGGGUUUGACAUGCACAGGACGACGGCAGAGAUGUCGUUUCCCUUGUGGCCUGUGUGCAGGUGGUGCAUGGCUGUCGUCAGCUCGUGUCGUGAGAUGUUGGGUUAAGUCCCGCAACGAGCGCAACCCUUAUUUCAUGUUGCCAGCGCGUUAUGGCGGGGACUCGUGAGAGACUGCCGGGGUCAACUCGGAGGAAGGUGGGGAUGACGUCAAGUCAUCAUGCCCCUUAUGUCCAGGGCUUCACACAUGCUACAAUGGCCGGUACAAAGGGCUGCGAUGCCGCGAGGCUUAGCGAAUCCUUUAAAGCCGGUCUCAGUUCGGAUCGGGGUCUGCAACUCGACCCCGUGAAGUCGGAGUCGCUAGUAAUCGCAGAUCAGCAACGCUGCGGUGAAUACGUUCCCGGGCCUUGUA